UGCUUGUACAAUGCCUAAGCAACAAAGACUGAACUGGGGAAGAAAGGCCUGAACCCAGGCUAGAGUGUGUCUGGCCUGUGAAAGAAAUACCUGGAGUCUUAAGCUGAAAGCAAGAGCAGCUUUCCUUCAAGAACCUCUGUAAUCUGCCUAAAACAACAUUUAGGUUAAUAAACUUCUAGUCAGCUUAUUAAAGGAUUGGCUAUAAGCACUGUCUUUGGUGUGAGAGUGAAGGUGCAAAUUGACCUGGGUUGAGGUUAGCAGGGGUGCUCAAACUAGGACACGUUUGGUAUAUAAGAUAAGGCGCUCCUGGCCCCUUGACUUUGAAAUUCACUCGCCUUCCACAAAUCUGUUGGUCUUUCGGACAAGCUGCAAAAUCAUCAUCUUCCUGAGCAGGCCCUUAGGGAGGGAUGAGGUGUCUAGCAUUUCAUUUGGAUAUGCGAGGGAAAUGGCUACAAACCUUAAAGAAGACACUGGUCAAUUAAUACCUACUAAAAAGCAACAUAUCCAGAGGAAACUCCUUGAUUCUCAAGACAACAGGUAGAAACCAAUUUACAGAACAGUGGAGAAGGGGAAACUCCCACCCAGGGAUGAGUCACACAGGAUGACUGCACUGAAGAAUUACCUCAUGGACCCAGAGGCGCCAACUCCGUGGGUACUCUGGUGCUGGAGGACAGUGCAGGACCCCUGAGCUGAAGGGGAAAGAGAACAUAAUGC